rnacentral:rRNA from 1 species
AUGGCGUCCUGCAGCUGCUCGGCGCGGGAGGCGGCAAGGCCGGAGGAGAGCGCGGCGGAGGAGAAGUCGGAGGGGGAGAAGGACGGGGAGAGGAAGGCGGAGAGGACGGGAUCGGAGGCGAAGGCGUCGAGCGGGGAGGCGGGGUCGGGGGAGGAGGAGGUGGGGGAAGGAGGCGAGGCGAAGGAGCUUCCGGUGAUGAGGUCCUUGGACGUCGGCGAGAGCAGGAGGCGCGGCGUGGCUGGGGCGGCCAUGGCGGUGGCCGUCGCCGGGGCGGGUGGUGGAUCUGGGGGUAGGAGAGAUCCGGAAGACUCACUCCUCACUAGGCGUCAUUUGGUCGGUUGA